rfam:Colletotrichum gloeosporioides Cg-14 contig00412, whole genome shotgun sequence.
CCAGCUUCUUUAGCCUCAGGCUAAGAUCAAGUGUAGUAUCUGUUCUUUUCAGUUUAACCUCUGAUACGUCUCCAAGGGGGACAUCUAACCUACCGGUUAACCUAUUUUUCUCUUCCAGAGCUGACGGGUCCCUGUACUUGUGCGGGACAGUCUUUUCAUUGUGUUCCCGGUAUUACACUGCAUCCGGGCGACGCGAAUUACUA